rnacentral:lncRNA from 1 species
UAACUUACAAUCAAACAAGAAUGUGUCCACAGUACACGGAUGCCCCACUCACACUAUCAUUUUCUAUGUUUAAAGGACUGUGAAAUUGGAAUAAAUUCUCUAAUUUGGCAUUAAAAUUAGAAUGAUCUUAUCAAAGGAAACAUGUAUACUAAGUUUCAAGUUGAUUGGACUUCUACUUUAUCAAAAACUACCUUGACCAAAAACUUUAACCUGAAAUUUGCACUAUCAUUUUCUAUGUUCAGUGAACCGUAAAAUUGGGGUCAAAACUCUAAUUUGGCAUUUAAAUUAGAAAGAUCAUAUCAUAGGGCACAUGUAUACUAAGUUUAA